GAUUUUGCGCCUGGGCGAUGCCUGACGCAUAACGCCGCGUGGGGGAUGAGUCCCUCGGCCUGAAUUCCCACUGGGGGGAUGAACCUGAUGGUACCUCCAGACAAGCCCCGGCCAUUUACGUGCCAGCAGCCGCGCUGAUACGUUGGGGCAUGCCCUGUCCGGACUCCCUGGGCGUAAGAGCUCGUAGGCGGCCCAUUAAGUCGGUCGUGAUUAUACCGAGGCUCUCCUCGGCACUGCGGUCGCUCUGCUCAGCUAGAGUCUUGGUAGAGGAUAUCGGAACCCCGGUUAGCGGUGGACGCGCAUAUAUCGGGAGGAUACCUGUAGCGAAUGCGGUUCUCUGGGCCAACACUAACGCUUAGGAGCGAAAGCGUGGGGAGCAAAAAGGCUUAGAUCCCCUGUAGUCCACGCUUUUAACGUUGGGCACAGGUGUGGCGACCCGACCACGGUUUGCCGUGCCAAACUUACGCAUUAACUGCCCCGCCCUGGGAGUCGGCCGCAGGGCUAAACUAAAA
rnacentral:rRNA from 1 species